rnacentral:rRNA from 1 species
CAGCAGCCACGGGAAUACGUAGGGUGCAAGCGUUAAUCGGAAUUACUGGGCGUAAAGCGUGCGCAGGCGGUCCGCUAAGACAGAUGUGAAAUCCCCGGGCUUAACCUGGGAACUGCAUUUGUGACUGGCGGGCUAGAGUAUGGCAGAGGGGGGUAGAAUUCCACGUGUAGCAGUGAAAUGCGUAGAGAUGUGGAGGAAUACCGAUGGCGAAGGCAGCCCCCUGGGCCAAUACUGACGCUCAUGCACGAAAGCGUGGGGAGCAAACAGGAUUAGAUACCCGCGUAGUCCCUGUCUCUUAUAC